rnacentral:lncRNA from 1 species
UAAACAAGGCCUCAAUAGCAUUCCGAUGAGAAGAGUAGCUUAUUACAGAUGCACAUGAAAUUCCACAGUUAAUUCCGAUAUAUUAUUGCCAGCCCCAGCUGCUCUCACUCUCAGUCUGAUGCAUUGCCAACCAACGGCAACCCUCUUUUGCCUUUUUCUACUUGCACGCUUCACCCGCACGCGCCCGCGUCGGGCCGGCCGGCCGAUGGCGCGGCGGUGCUUCACGGACAAGGCAGUC